CUUUUCAUUUUUUUUUUAUACAUUUUCUUUAUGCUAAUUGCCAGAUAUCUAGACUAGCUGAGUGGAGAUACCUCAAUCAUCUGAGCUAUAUUCACUAGAUUCUGGCAAUAGGGGCACGGCAGCACAGCAAAAUGACUCCUUGUCCUUGAGAAGAAGACAGCUUCCAUCUGAAUUCCACUUCAGAUCAGUUAUGCUAAACUGUGGUAGUGGAUUACUUAUGCAGUAGGCACCUGAAGGAGUCCACAUAUACAAGUGACAGCUGCCAGUACAUAGAACAAGUCGUGUGCAUGUUGGAUCCCAAGCAGCUGCCCGGAUGGGAUCCUUCUGGACCAAUAUGGCAGUUAGCUCAAGAUGAUGUAUGUCCCAUAUCCAGAGAGCAGUUGGCAUGCUAUCAUUGCGAGUACAGAUAUACUGGCUGUCGCUGCUCCAUGACAUGAGGCCAAUUCCUUGUUUAGGGUUUGGUUUGUCAGCGAGAGGCUUCUGGAAAGGCAACGUAAUAGGCACUUCUGUAACCUCAUACCUAACUCUGAAGUGUCCUUCUGCAACAUCAGAAUUGCCUUGGAGAAAUUCAUCACUCAAACAUAGUUCAGACAUAUCAAGAUGCAAUGGCUCGUCCACCUCCUUGAAAACAGCAGCACAACAUGGAGCACGUACAGUAGAUAGGUGCAUAAAUUCAGCGAAAGUUUUCCAGGUCAGGUGGUUCAGCACCCGCAACAUUUGAUCAUAGCUACCCACAGCUAGAAACUGGCCACAGGGAGACCAUGAGACACUUUUUACACCUAGUCCACUUUCAUAUGCUUGAUACUUGAAUAGACACCUCCCAUCCGGGGAAUAGAUUAGAACCUUAUAUUCAAGAGGUGAAUCCCAUAUCACUAUAGCACUAUCAUCCGGUGACCAUUCAAUAUCGGCCAAGUCCAAAGUGUCCACAGCAAAAGUACCCAUUAUCUCCCAGGUAUAACAUGAAAGCAGAUUUAUGUAAUCCUUGCAAUCACGCCUCGUACAAAUUGCAGCAAAUUUUCCAUCUUUAGUGAAAGAAAUCCCCUUAGAAGCAUGUUUUGGCCAUUGCACAUGAACGCAUGCUGUGUUCACAAGUGACCAAACAGUUAAACGCAAUUGAAAAUCUGAAGUGGUGAGUAUGUGCCGACUAUCUGGACUCCACCUAGCAUAAGCAAUGCCGGCAGGACCUUCAUCUAUUUUGCAAGUCCAUUCAGGUUGACUCAAGGACCAUGCCUGUAUCAUUGGCCUUUUAUAGAGGCCACAAAGAAUGUAUUCUGAAUCAAGGGCCCAUUCAAUAUAGCUUAUCUUAUCCAAGCAUGAAAACAACUGCACAACCUUAAACGACAACGUAUCACGAAUCACCAGGCGAUAAUCGACGGCGACGGCAAUGUAUCUGGCGUUGGGUGAGAAACAACAGGGACCAGUCUGCUUAUAAGCCUCAGUGAACUCCAUUUUCGUGAUCUCAACAGCAUUCUAAGAAAUCGAAGGCAAAGAAAUCCAUAUGCGAAAGAUUUUCGAUUUCCGAUGCGGAUCUAUCACCCGAGG
rnacentral:misc_RNA from 1 species